UGCGAUCAACUUGCAUCCCAUAUAUGACUCUGGAUAUGAAAUCUUGUCAAAUCCAAUAUCAUAUUUAUACUUCUUUUAAUCUUAUAAUGAUGAUUUGACUAAUAAAAUAUUAAAAAUACUUUCUAAUUUUUAUCUUGCUUUGAUCAAAAACUCCCUAAAUCAUUAGUCGAUUAAAGCAAGUAGGAUGCAAUCUCCUCUUACCAAGAGCGACCGAUUCCAUGUUGGCCUACUUACAAUCUCCAUACACAUUCCACCAUAUCCAGAAUAUUUCAUACAUAACUAAAUCAUGAAUAAGUAUGAACCAAAAUAUGGAUUCAUGUAUACAAGGUUCUAUGGUAGUCUCAAGUCAAAAGAUUACAUACACAAC
rnacentral:lncRNA from 1 species